rnacentral:rRNA from 1 species
AGCAGCCGCGGUAAUUCCAGCUCCAAUAGCGUAUAUUAAAGUUGUUGCAGUUAAAAAGCUCGUAGUUGAAUUUCGGGACCAAUCUGCCGGUCGUGCCUCCGGUACGCACUGGUUUUAUUGGUCUCUCCCUUCUGACGAACCAUGAUGUCAUUAAUUUGGUGUCAUGGGGAAUCAGGACUGUUACUUUGAAAAAAUUAGAGUGUUUAUAGCAGGCUCACGCUUGAAUACAUUAGCAUGGAAUAAUGAAAUAGGACGUUUGACCCUAUUUUGUUGGUUUCUAGGAUCGACGUAAUGAUUAAUAGGGAUAGUUGGGGGCAUUAGUAUUCAAUUGUCAGAGGUGAAAUUCUUGGAUUUAUUGAAGACUAACUACUGCGAAAGCAUUUGCCAAGGAUGUUUUCAUUAAUCAAGAACGAAAGUUAGGGGAUCGAAGACGAUCAGAUACCGUCGUAGUCUUAACCAUAAACUAUGCCGACUAGGGAUCGGAUGAUGUUAUUUUUUAAUGACUCAUUCGGCGCCUUAC